rnacentral:rRNA from 1 species
UGGGGAGUAUUGGACAAUGGGCGAAAGCCUGAUCCAGCCAUGCCGCGUGUGUGAAGAAGGCCUUUUGGUUGUAAAGCACUUUAAGUGGGGAGGAAAAGCUUAUGGUUAAUACCCAUAAGCCCUGACGUUACCCACAGAAUAAGCACCGGCUAACUCUGUGCCAGCAGCCGCGGUAAUACAGAGGGUGCAAGCGUUAAUCGGAAUUACUGGGCGUAAAGCGCGCGUAGGUGGUUAUUUAAGUCAGAUGUGAAAGCCCCGGGCUUAACCUGGGAACUGCAUCUGAUACUGGAUAACUAGAGUAGGUGAGAGGGGAGUAGAAUUCCAGGUGUAGCGGUGAAAUGCGUAGAGAUCUGGAGGAAUACCGAUGGCGAAGGCAGCUCCCUGGCAUCAUACUGACACUGAGGUGCGAAAGCGUGGGUAGCAAACAGGAUUAGAUACCCUGGUAGUCCACGCCGUAAACGAUGUCUACCAGUCGUUGGGUCUUUUAAAGACUUAGUGACGCAGUUAACGCAAUAAGUAGACCGCCUGGGGAGUACGGCCGCAAGGUUA